rnacentral:lncRNA from 1 species
UGGAAGCGUAAUUGCGUGCAAGAGCGCUUGCUUAGCAUUCAACCAGCCAAAAUACUGUUGCACUCCACCUAACGACAAGCCGGAGACAUGCCCUCCCACUGAUUACUCUAAGCUCUUCAAGACCCAGUGCCCUCAAGCUUAUAGCUAUGCUUAUGAUGACAAGAGCAGCACCUUCACAUGCAGUGGUAGACCUGACUACCUCAUCACAUUCUGCCCAUAAGCAUAUAUAUAUAUAUAGAAUGGGAUCUUAUAUGAUAUGAUAUUAUACAUAUAGUUCCCAAUAAAUAAAUUUCCUGGAUCUUGACACAUUGUUGAUGUCAAGAAUUUGUAAUGCAGACGAUCAAAUAACGUAAAUGUUUGGAUUUUAUUUUCGUUCAUGGCUUUCAAAUUUUUGUUUCCUUCAUUUCUUUAUAUGAUGCAUUAUUUCCAGCAACAAAACAUGAGCAUAAUAUAAAGAGAGUUAGCUGCAAUUGAAAUGGUUAUCAAACGGGAGUUUAAAUACGGAUUGUAAUUUUCUGUCAUGCCUGGUGUUGAUGCGAAAAAGUGGUUUGAUACGUAAUUCGUCAACUUAGUCAAAAUGUCCCUUCGGUAGGUCCCCGUCCUUGGUAAGUGGUCCACUCCAGAGGGUCAAGUACCUGCAAAAGGACGCGUUCGGUAAAUCCUUGGGGUACCGGUGCGGUACCGGCCGAAGGCUCUCCGAUGCCUAAAUGAGUACGGAUUUAGUAAGGUUAACUGACAGAUCACACGAUAGCGUACCGUUAGUUCUUCUUCUUCCCUUUUGGGGAUAUGGGUCUCCUUAUAUAGACCUUGGGAGGUGUGCUUUGUGCUCAUUUUUCCGAUGUGGGACUCCAAGCAUGGAUUGUGAACAUGACACGUGUCUGUUGGUAAAAAGGGCCAAGAUAUAUAGCUUCGGUAGUGAGCAUGCCGUAGGGGCCCUGUGAUCAGAGUGGAUCCUGUCCACGUGUCCGGUGGAAAUAGGCCGUUUAAUUAGGUAUAAACAGUAGUCCCUCAAGUUCUCUUUCGAAGGUUCUUCGGAAGGGAAUUUGGUUUUCCUUGGUAGUUCGGAGGUUCUCCUGCCGUUCGGCAUGCUCAUUUGGGGGGAGGAAAGGCGCUUGAGUUGUUCCUUUCGGAAAGUAGUGUUCUGGGAAAAUCGGUCGGGGACUUGAAGGGUCGCCAAUGUUGAGAGGCGAGAGGGCAGAGAGACGCUUCGUCUUCCGUGCCUGGCGCGCAGAUAGAGGCGCCAUUUGCCGGGUGACGCGUGGCCAGCAAUAACACGCCUGUUGGUGCAUUAAUGAGCCGUUUCGUCUCCCGAGGCGUACCGUUACAGUUCUCCCUCUAUAAAUAGAGGUUGCUCUGUAUGAAAAAAUUCACUUUGCAAUUGUGAGUUUGCGCGAGAGCUCUUGAGUAGGCGAUUUUUGAAGUGUGCGAACGGCAAGCAAGGCGAUUUUCGAAGCGUGCGAACGGUAAGCUAGGCGAUUUUCGAAGCGUGCGAACGGCAAGCUAGGCGAUUUUCAUAGCACUCAAGGUAAGAUACCGUUCGGUACCCCUGAAUUUUGUUAUACUUCUGUAUAUGGCAUAGGCUCGCCGAUCGUUAAGUAGGAUCUUCCUUCGGUAGUCUAGUGGCCAUAGGUAGAGAAGUAGGUAUCUGUAGGAUAGCGCAGCACGCACCUUAGUUUUUCCCUUUUUCUUGUUUUGUAGAUGUCCGAUAGCGAGUCACCGUUCGGCGAUGAGCCCAACGCUUUCGACGGGGAGCUAUCUUCCGGCUGGGGUACGUCCAGCGAGGCCGUGAGCCUCGGCGCCGAGGGCGGGGAAGACUCCGAUGCCGAGCUAUUCGGUGAGGAGGCGGAUUCCAUUCCCACCCACGGCAUCGGUAAGGGGUUCAUGACGGGGCACCCGUUACCCCUGGUCGCGGUGUACAGGGACGGUACCCGUGUCGUGCCGUCUGAGCACCAGCCAGAGGCUUCCACCUCCGGCAAUGAUGAGUGUGUUGCCGGUCCCUCUCGGCCGAGAGUUACGAUCGUCCACCGAGAGCGGUAUAGGAUACCGGUGGGCAUACCGCAGAAGACCCUGUUCGGGGUUGAUUAUUUGGGGCCGAACAAACUUACCGAACGGGAGCUUCAAAAGAUUAGGGCCGAAUACCUCAUUCCUGACUCGGUGAAGAUGAGGGUCCCGAGCCCGGUCGAGUCCCUCAGCGACCCUGGGGAUGGUGAAGUCGUCUUCUUCACCGAUAUGCUGGUGCAGGGGGUCAGGUUGCCGUUGCAGCCUGCCGUUCAGAAGUUACUUGCCCAGAUUGGGUAUGCCCCGGGCCAAUAUAACCCCAACUUUUGGGUGGCCCUGAUGGGGGUGAUAACGGCCUUUGGGAUUGCCGGGGAGGGGGAGCCUUCCUACGAGCAAUUCUCCUACCUCUACAGCGUCACUAAGUCGAAGAGUGCCGACCAUGGUGGCUGGGUUCAGGCGAACUGCCUGAAGGCUUCCGAGCGAGGUCACUUCGUCAGCUCGGUGCCGACUUCCCAGAAGUCGUGGAGGAAUCGGCGGGUGCUACUCUCUGGCCAAUGGGAAUCGCCAUCAGGAGUACGCCCGCAGUCCCCAGUACCAACGACUUUCCAAACCGCCGGUAGGUCCCUAGUUACCGAUCGGCAGGUCCCUAGUUGCCUUUCUGUUUUCUUUUUAUAUUUGCUCACUCAUUCUUUAUUCGGACAGGCAAACUCAAGCAGCCGACUCCUACACAAGACGAGAUUCGGCAGAUCGACAGGGUGAGGCUGAAGGUCCCUGCCGCCGAGCGAGUGUACCCGCGCUUCCUUUUCACCAAUAAUCUCAUCAGAGCCGGGCUCGUCGACCCUGCCGAGAGUAAGUGUACUUGUUGCGCUUUUCUUCCUCUUCUCUUUUUUUGUGUGCUUGCCGACUGACUGAUUGUUUUUGGCCAGUGACGGACGCAAGGAGGGCUGCCGAGGCCAAGAAGAUGAACGAAUCUUCCAGGAGGCGCCUCAUGAUGGGCCUCGAGGGCAAGAAGAAAAAGAAGCAGCUCGAGGCCCCUGCCGUUCGGUCGUCGACGGACCCCGAGGAGGUGACCCUCGCUGAGCGUAUGCGGCAGUUGGGCGCUGAGCCUGUCGCAAGGCCGGCUGUCGAUCCCCAUGCGCCGAGGCAUGCCGUCGCCGAUGCCGUCGCCUCAAGGGCUGCCGGGAAGCGGCCGAUAACGGUGGAUUUGGAAACUUCUCCGGCGUCCAAGCGAAGCCGUCCGUCAGACGCUUCCAGGGCCGUCUUUGCGGCGGAGGACGAGGAUGGGCCUACCGAGGCCGUCACUCUCGCCUGCCCCUCGAAGACGGUGCAAUUCGUCAACCAUAUGAUCCUCGGUUCUCAGAUGGAGCUGCCGGAGGUUGACGAGUUGCCGAAGAAGGUUCUUCGGGAGCAGGCUGGACGCGCCUUCCGACUGCAAGCAGCAGUAAGAAUUUAUCUCCCGGUGUUGUCCUUUCAUUAUUUUUUUUUCGGUGCCAAGUGGGGCUUCAAACUAUCUUCCUCGUGUGCAGGCGUCCAUGGAGAUGUGGCUGUGUGUCAAGCGGGCCAUCUCCGCUGCCGAACGGGCAAAAAAGGACUAUGACGACGGCAGGGCUAAGGUUGCCGAGGCUGGAAAGGCUAUCCAGGACCACGCCCAGCUGCUAAAGGAGAAAGAGGCUGCCGAACGGCGGGCUCUCACUUCGGAGGCGACGGUGGGCGAGAUGCGGGCCGAUCUGGAGGCAGCGCGGGCGGCUCUGGAGGCAGCGCGGAUGGCAGCGCGUGAUGCCGAGGCCGUCUCGGAGGCGGUUCAGGACGCUCUGCAGGAGUCCGAGCGGACCAAGGCUGCGGAGGUUGAGGCUGCCAUUCAAACGGCAAUCCAGGGAUACCGUUCUUCCGAGGAGUUCACUGUCCUCCUGGACAGGGAAGUUGGCUCCGAGAUGGCGGGUAUGUUGUACCGAUUCAAGCGGUACAACCCUGGUCAGAAGCUGAACCUCAACUUCGCUGCCGAUCCCCCUCCCCUUCCCGAGGGAAUAACUGAGGAGAUGAUCGAAGACUACGAGGGGGAGGAUGCUGCUGCUGACGAAGCCUGAGGGCCUCUGUAAUAGUUUUAGCCUGUCUUAUUUUUAUUGUUAUUUUGUAUCUGUACCGAACGCCUUGAUGCCGAGGGCAUCUUUAAAUUAGAUGUGCAUAUUUUGUCUAUUUUUGUCUUUUCGAUUUGAUUUUGUUUUAUCGCCGAUAGGAUUUAUAACGUUAUAGAAGUAGCUUUCGAAAUUGUCAAGUUUCGAUGGAAUCUGUAGGGUGACAAUUUCGAAAAUACCUCCUGCCGUAGGUUAGUAAAGAUGCCCCAGAACGUUAUCUUGCUUAUAUUGGCAGCCGUAGGCUAGUAGAGACUGUAACAAGAGUUUCUGAAGCAAUAGUGCCGAAGGCUUUCUAUUUAUCUUUGCCGAAAGGCAUUUACAAUUUUGUCCUACCGUAGGCUAGGUUGCAACUCUGUCCUGCCGUAGGCUAGGUUACUUGAAAUAGUACUUGAGAUGUUCCACGUUCCAAGGAUGACCGAGGGUCUUGCCGUUGGAGUCUCUUAGGCGGUAGGUUCCCGAUCGAAGGAUACCGAUGAUCUCGUAAGGUCCUUCCCAGGAAGGUCCGAGGGUUCCUUCCGUGGCAUCCUUAGUUGCUAGGGACACCUUCCUCAUGACCUAAUCACCGGCUCGGAAUGAACGGUGUCUGAUUCUGGAGUCGUAAUACCGAGAGACGCGUUGCUUGUAGGCUUCGUUUCGAAGGUUGGCAUGUGCUCGGUGCUCUUCCAGGAGGUCGAGGCUUAGAGAAAGUGCUGCUUCAUUUGGCUCUGGUGCGAAGGUUUCCGUUCGGUAGGAAGGUUCGCCAAUUUCUACCGGCACAACGGCUUCCGAACCGAAAGCCAAAGAGAAAGGGGUUUCUCCUGUGGACGUUCGGUAAGAGGUCCGAAUGGCCCAGAGCGCUUCGGGAAGCUUUUCUGGCCAGGCUCCUUUGGCUUUGUCCAGCUGCCGUUUUAGCAGUUUCUUGAUGAUUUUGUUUAUCGCUUCUACCUGACCGUUCGACUGGGGAUGGGCCGGUGAUGCGAAAAACAAGUUGAUCUUCAGGCGGGUGCAAAAGUGCCUGAAGAGUUCCGAAUCGAACUGCCUGCCGUUGUCGGUGAUGAUUGCGUACGGGAUACCGAAACGGCAACAAAUGUGAGUCCAGACGAAGUCCUCUACUCUUGCUGCCGUUAUGGUUGCAAGAGGUUCGGCCUCCACCCAUUUGGUGAAGUAGUCGACGGCAACCACAGCGUAUUUCACCUGGCCUUUACCUUGUGGCAUCGGACCGAUCAGGUCUAGCCCCCACUGUGCGAAAGGCCAAGGACUCACGAUCGGUGUCAAGGGUUCGGCGGGGAUAUGCUGUAUGUUGCCGAAACGCUGACAUUUAUCGCAUUUCUUCACAAGUGAAUUGGCGUCCUGGUGCAUGGUCGGCCAGAAGUAUCCCUGCCGAAAGGCUUUGUGUGCGAGUGACCGGGACCCAGAGUGAUCGCCGCAAACACCAUUGUGGAUUUCCCGGAGAACGUAGCUCCCCUGCUCUGCCGUAAGGCACUUGAGAUACGGAGUCGUGUAGCCACGUUUGUAAAGGACGUCGUUGAUGACGGUGUACCUUGCCGAUCGGUAUCUAAGCUUUCGGGCCUGGGCCUUGUCCUCUGGAAGGGUGCCGUUGGUUAGGUAUGAGUAGAUAGGGGACAUCCACGUAUCCUCGUACCGUACGGUACAUAUUUCGGAGGUUGCCGUGCUUGGUUGGGCAAGAAUUUCCACCGGCACCUUUCUUCCGAUUUUGUCAUUGAUUGCCGAGGCUAGUCGCGCUAAAGCAUCGGCAUGACUGUUUUCGCUCCUGGGGAUCUGUUUGAUCUCAUAGGCUCGGAAGCUCUGGAGCAGCUGGUGGGUGGACGAAAGGUAGGCGUUCAUGGAGGCGUCUCUGGCGGCGAAGUCCGCCGUUACCUGGUUCACAAUGAGUUGGGAGUCACUGUGUAUCUUGAUCUGUUUUGCGUUCAUGCUCUUGGCUAAACGAAGGCCGGCCAAGAGAGCCUCAUAUUCUGCUUCAUUGUUGGAGGUUCGGAAGUUGAAUCGGAGGGCGUACUCGAUCUUGAGUCCCUCCGGUGUUGUCAGAACCAACCCUGCUCCACACCCCUGUUGGUUUGCCGAGCCGUCGACAUGCAGAGUCCAUACAGGAUUUGAGGCGUCGAGCCGUUCGGCGUCUACCUCCAUCGGUGCCGCGGUUUCGGUAACUGGCUCGGGUAUUUCCUGUGUCGUUGGUGGGGUGAGCUCGGAGAUGAAAUCGGCAAUGGCCUGACCUUUUCGGCUGGCCUUGGCACGAAUUGUAUAUCGAAUUCUCCGAGUUCAAUCGCCCACUUGAUCAAUCGGCCGGAAGUCUCUGGUUUUUGGAGUACUUGCCGAAGCGGUUGGUUUGUCAGGACAUUGAUCCCGUGUGCUUGGAAGUAUGGCCGAAGUUUUCGUGCCGAGAUCACCAGGGCUAGUGCAAGCUGCUCUAAUGGGGGAUAUCGAAGUUCAGCGCUCUGGAGUGCCUUACUGACAUAGAAGAUCGGUAGCUCUGCCCUCUCCGGUUUUCGGAUUAACACCGAACUGACGGCAGUGUUAGAUACCGAGAGGUAUAGGUAAAGAAUCUCCCCAGGCAGUGGUUUUGACAGGAGAGGUGCUCUGCCCAUAUAGUCUUUUAAGUCUUGAAAUGCUUUAUCACAUUCGGCAGUCCAUAAGAUAUUCUGUUUGCCCCCUUUCAAGGCUUUAAAGAACGGUACACAUUUGUCGGUAGCCUUGGAUAUAAAGCGAGUCAGGGCAGCCACUCGUCCGGUAAGGCUUUGGAUGUCCUUUGUUGUUUUUGGCCUCUCCAUGUCGAUGAUGGCCUUUAUUUUUUCGGGGUUCGCUUCGAUACCCCUGUGACUAAUCAUGAAUCUGAGGAAUUUCCCGGAAGACACACCGAAGGCGCAUUUCAUCGGGUUUAACCUCAUUCGGUAGCCCUUCAGGAUACCGAACAUGAUAGACAGAUUGUGCAGGUGUUCUUCGGCUGUUCUGCUUUUCACCAACAUGUCGUCAACGUAAACCUCCAUGAUGCUGCCGAUGUGUUCGGCGAAGAUUCUGUUGACAAGCCUCUGAUAUGUUGCCCCCGCGUUCUUCAAGCCGAACGGCAUGACGUUGUAGCAGUACAACCCUCUGUCAGUGAUGAAGGCGGUGUGCUCGCUGUCGGGGGGGUGCAUAAAAAUCUGGUUGUACCCUGAAUAGGCGUCCAUGAAGCUGAGCAGCUCGUGUCCUGCCGUGGCGUCCACGAGCUGGUCUAUUCGGGGUAACAGAAAGCUGUCCUUCGGGCAGGCCUUGUUCAGAUCGGUGUAGUCUUGGCACAUUCUCCAGCCGCCUGUACCCUUUCGAACCAUGACUGAGUUCGCCAGCCAUACCGGGUACGUAACUUCCCUGAUGAAGCCGAUGGUUUGAAGUUUGUCAACUUCCGUCCGCAUGGCUUCGUACCGUUCGGCAUCAUACAAACGGCGCUUCUGCCUUACAGGUUUGUAGGUUGGGGAAAUGCUGAGUUUAUGGCUGAUGAUUUCAGGGUCUAUGCCGGGCAUGUCUUCGUAGGACCAUGCGAACACUUCCGAAUGGUGCCGUAAGAAGUCUAUAAACUGCGCUCGGAGGGCGGGGGUCAGUCUGGUACCGAUUUUAACCCGACGAUCGGGCUGUUCAUCGCUCAGGGUUAUCGUCUCCAGUUCUUCGACGGGUUGCGUAUAAGGAGUUGGUGACUCAUCUCUUGGGUCGUCAACUGGUCCGUUGCCGUUCGGCAUCCCCUGCACAGACAUGGUCUUGUCUGGGAUUUUGAGAGAGGUUGAUUUGAUCGCCGUGGCGUAGCAAGUCCGUGCGCUCAGCUAAUUUCCCCUGACAGAUCCUACGCCAUUUGGGGUCGGGAAUUUCAUCAACAGCAUGUGUGGGGAAAGAUGCGCCUUUACCCUGGUCAGUGCCGUUCGCCCAACAAUGACGUUGUACGCCGUCGGGCAGUCAACGAUGAGGAACUUGUCAUAUACCGUCGUUCUCUUUGGCGCGGUGCCGAAGGUAAUUGGGAGCGUUACGCUACCGACCGGUUGGACCAUGUCCCCGGAGAAACUUAGCAAAGGCGUCAACUGCCGGUUGACCUGGCUGUCCUGUAUUCCCAUUUCUCGGAAAGCUUCGGCGAAGAUUACGUUUACCGAGCUCCCUGUAUCAAUCAGUACUCUCCCUACAUCGUAAUCGGCAAUUUCUGCUCGGACGAUCAUUGGGUCGUCGUGGGGACAGAGAAUGCCCUGUUCCUCUUCUUUGCAAAACGUGAUCGGCUCCCAAUGAUCCUUCGGUGUUUCAUGGUGGCGAUUCACCUCUAUGCCGAACACCUGGGGAAACUGUGCGGCACGCACGUACUGCUUCAUCGAGCGAUUGCUCAGUCCUGCGAUGGUUGGGCCGCCGCUGAUAGUGCUUAUCAUGUUUAUCUGCCGAUUUGCGUUCGGCUCCGGCGCCGUUGGCUGCCGGGCGAUAUACUGGUCUAGCUUCCCCUCUCGGAUCAAGCGUUCGACGAUCUUCCUCAGGCUUAUGCAGUCUUCUGUAUUAUGGCUGUUGUGCUGAUGGUAUCGGCAGAAUUUACCGGUAUCCCGGUUGUCUUGCCGAUUGGGCCUUCGUUGAUUCGGCUUGGGUAUUUUUUCCUGUUCGUUCAUCAGGACGGCCUCGUAGGUAGUAUUCAACAGGGUGAAGACCUCAUUGCCAUGAUCCCGAUUCGGCAGGGGGGCUCGGUUGUCGUUGCGACUGUACCUCCCUUUUUCUUUCUUUGGGUGCUCCCUUCGAUCUGCACGAUCAUCCUUCCUCUUAUGACCUGCCGAGUAGGUGUCGACUCGCUCAUAAGGCGUUGCCCUUGCCGGAUAGGCACUUGGUUCCGCAUUUCCUUGCGGUGCCGAAACCGUGGGUUUCGAGUUGAAGUAUUCGGCCUUGGCGUGGAUUGCUGCCUGCUUCAUCAGUUCAUCGUACGUGCGCCAGUUGCUACUGUGCACCAGGUAUCGAAAAUGAGAGGACCGAAGGCCACUCUUGAAGGCGCCGUAGGCUGCCCUAUCAUCCGUUUCCGGACACCUUGAGUACUCGUGACUGAAACGCGCCGCGUAUUCUCUCAACGGUUCGUCCUCCCUUUGCCGAAUCGUGUACAGAUCAUCGGCGGAGUAGAGACGGUCCGUUUGGAUUAUGAAGUGAUUGAGGAAGAUCUGCUUCAGCUCAUCAAAGGAUGCUACCGUUUCCGGCUCUAAACGGUAGAACCAGUUCAAGGCUGCCCCGGUAAGGGAAGACGGGAAUAGCAGGCACUGCCCCUCAUCGCUCAAGCCCUUGCAUCCAAUAGCGGACUGGAAUGAAUGGAGGUGUGUCAAAGGGUCCUCCGUUCCUGUGUAGAACGUUAUACGCAGUUGCUGCACUUCCCUGUCUUGCCGAGAAUCCCGGAUGCGCCUUGUGAACGGUCCGGGCCGAAGCUUUCCCCAUUCCGGUUCUUGGGAGCGCGCAUUGUCGUUUUCCAUUUUCUGGACCUUCUGAAAAAGGAGUCGGAUCAUGGGGUCUCGGCUAGGGACUUCUUCGGAACCGUAAUCUUCCGAUUGUCUUUGUAGGUUUAGUGAAUUAUCCCCCGCAUACCGCGAUGGUGUUUCCGAACGGUAGUCGGGGGGAAGUGUCUUGGAAGGGAUGUACUCGGACUCCGAAGACUCGGCGGGGCCCAAUCCCCUGACCUUCCGAAUAGGCGACUUAUCCCCUAGGUUAUUCAUCCGUGAUUCCCUUAUUCGAGCGCCAAUCCUGAUCGGUGACCCCUCUCUCUCUGGCUCCCGAUCGUUAGUGCGAUGCUCCCGGUCGUUAAUCCGAUGUCGGCAAUCGGUGUAGACCUUCCUUGGGAUGUGCGGCUGAUCCCGGGGUGCCGGAACCACUAACUCUCUGGAAGGUGCGGGCGUUGCCUUCGCUACCUUCGCGCGUUUGUUCUUCCCGCGGGGGUUCUGCAAGCUCUCGGAAGAGCGAGUUGUCUGUAUGUUCUGCGGUUGCUGCUGGUGAAGCAACUGCUGGGUUUCGUCCACUUUGGACGAAAGGAAGUUGUUGUGUUCCUGAAGCCUCGCCAUGUCCUUCCGUAAGGAUGCGAUUUGGGCUGCCAUCUCGACUUCGGCAGCCGUUUGGGUAGCGGGGGCAUUUCCGAAGGGAGUGUUGGAGGUAGCGCUGGGCUAGCUCCGCUCUGCCUUCCGAACGGUACCCCCUCUUCCGCUAGGAACGUUUGUUUUGAAGUGGUCCCCAUGUGCUUAGGGGAUUGUGGGUUGAUGAUUUUUUGGUUUCCCACAGACGGCGCCAAACUGUUGAUGCGAAAAAGUGGUUUGAUACGUAAUUCGUCAACUUAGUCAAAAUGUCCCUUCGGUAGGUCCCCGUCCUUGGUAAGUGGUCCACUCCAGAGGGUCAAGUACCUGCAAAAGGACGCGUUCGGUAAAUCCUUGGGGUACCGGUGCGGUAUCGGCCGAAGGCUCUCCGAUGCCUAAAUGAGUACGGAUUUAGUAAGGUUAACUGACAGAUCACACGAUAGCGUACCGUUAGUUCUUCUUCUUCCCUUUUGGGGAUAUGGGUCUCCUUAUAUAGACCUUGGGAGGUGUGCUUUGUGCUCAUUUUUCCGAUGUGGGACUCCAGGCAUGGAUUGUGAACAUGACACGUGUCUGUUGGUAAAAAGGGCCAAGAUAUAUAGCUUCGGUAGUGAGCAUGCCGUAGGGGCCCUGUGAUCAGAGUGGAUCCUGUCCACGUGUCCGGUGGAAAUAGGCCGUUUAAUUAGGUAUAAACACCUGGUAAGGAAUAAGCAUGGCUAUUUACGAAACUAUAAUAUGAACAACACUGAGAAACACAAGUAUGGCCAUUUCAAACAGACUACAAAUAACUUCGUAUUCCAACAAUGAAUCAACAGCACCCAUGGCCAUAUACGUUUGCAGCAUCUGAAGGUAGAUCAUCUAAUUAAUGUUAGAAGGAUAAUAGUUUCUAAAGUUCUUUAUUAAAAAAAUCAAUAGACAACCACCAGAGACAAAUUUUGUUUUGGAGAAGAUGAUUAUUCUCAAUUCUUGACAGCUGCAUAAUGCUAAAAUAUGAAUAUGGUUUGAAUACUUUACUUUAGGUUAGUUGUAUUCUUCUUCAUAAAGAGGUAUAUAUGAGUUUACAAGGUGCUUUAUAAGGAAAUAGAUACAGUUAAUUACCAUGGUAUACAAAGUGACUUAGAGACAAAAACUCAGAGACCGACUUGACUUUCACCAUGCGGCUUCUGGAAGUGCAAAUGAACCAUGCACAAGACUUUUAGAGUGAGCUCUUUGGACGUGGACUUGUUAAAACAUGAAAGGUUUUGUGUUGAUUUUUCUCAAUCAUACAAUCCGUUAAUAUACAAAUUUAUGUACACGAACACUACUAAGGAAUGCAAAGACUUUAAGAUCAUACAAACUACAAGUACUUGUUGAGAGUAUUUAGUCCAUGUUUUUUUUUUAAAAAAAUGCAGACAUUCAUUUUGUAUUUUAUUUUCCGUUCAUGUUUUUUUAUGGUUUAUCAAACUCAUAUAAAUAUGAUACAUAAAGCAAAAAAUAGAGAGAGAAUAGUAAAACAUUCAAAAAAUUAAAAAUUGUUCUUACUUCAUUUUUUUUUGUUGGAAUGCAUUUAUUACACAUUGAAACUUUUCAUUAAAUAAGCAUAAUAUAGUAAAUAUAUAUAUAUAUAUAUAUAUUAGAUGGGGACCUAUUUUCUUGGGACACAACUUGACAGGACCCGAUCCAAAUUCCACUUUGGAAUCCGAGCCAUACCCUGUGUGUGUCCGACACUUGGCGAAUGUCGUUUUCCGGCGAGCUCCGGCCACGGAAACUCCGACGAAGGGUCAGAAAAUGACGGCGGUCGAGUGGUGGUUCGUUUGGUACCAACGGCGGAGAUCGGCUCCAAGCGUGGUGGCCGUGGCGACGAUGAGAAGGGAGGAAGGUCGGCUGGCGCGGGCUGAUCGGGAGGAGAGAGAGAAAAGAGAGAAAUUGAUGGGGGAAGAAAGAGAGAGAGAGAGAAACAGGUUUUAUAAAUCUAAUUUUCCAAUUUACCAUUUUCCCCCUCAUGAUAUUUUAAUCGUAUUGUCUUCAUGAAAAUUCCGAUUUGAGCUUACUUCGUGUCUAUGAACUCGUGUCGUCGUGCUCUACGGAACGGUGUAUGGGGAAUUGUCAAAUUCCUUUUCGGUCAAAAAGUCAACUUUGAGUUCAUAAGGUAGUCAAAGGGCAAAAUUGUCUUUCCGUAUAAUAAAUUACUCAUUAAAUAUGAAUUUUAGGUUUGGGUCAUUACACAACUUCUUUAUCUUUUUUUUUAGUUGGAUUCUUAAUUCUUAAAUUAAAAAAACGAAAAUAAAAAACCAAUUGGCACCAAGGUAGUAUAUAUGAAACAUCGUCAGAAAUUAAAUUUUUUUUUUUUUGAAAUGUUCAUAAAAACAAACAAACAAAAAUAUAUACAUACAUUAACAAAAAAAAUAAUUUUCAAAAUAAAUGCACAGUGCCCAAGGAAACUCCUUAUAUAAUGUAUGUCUCUUGAAAAUUGUCAACAAAUCCGCUGUAGCAAUACUUACAAAUGGAUAAUUGUAAUCCGGGUUCGAAUCCCGACAGUGGAAUUCUUUUUAAGUUAGAUGUAUGACAGGAUUCGCCCCAAAUUCCUCGGAACCCGAAAUGAAUCCUGUGAAAUUCCGACAUCACCCCGAUGCCGGGCCCACUUAUUAAAGACCAAGACUUUCUACCAAAAUUUUGGCAGAGUCUCCCCUGUAAUUUGAACAAUCCCAAAAAUUUCAACAUGCAUAAAAUACAUGUCAUAUCCCAACAAGCAGCACGCACAAUAUAAUUUCAUGCAAUUCACAAACUCGACCUUAGGCCCUCACAUGAACCGAAGCGAAACCAAACUACCAACAAAGCCCUUACGCCAAAAAUAUUGCCUUAAUAUGGUAUAACAACACCCUUAAUUCAUCUCUCUAUACGCCUGAAAUUCCAACGCUACGUAUGAGGUCUGUCUCAACGCCGAAAAAUCCUACGCCACGCGAGACCUAACAAAUCACAUAAUCUCCUCAUACGCCGAAAAUUCUAACGCCACAUAUGGGGUCUGUCAUCAUUGAUUUAGGAUAUUAUCUUGAGAGAUAUUAUCAUCAAUUAGUGAUUUAAUCCCAAUCAAAUUGUUAAUUGACUUAAUCUCUCCAUUUAAGGGAAAAAAUAUCUUCCUUCAAAAUAAGAAGAUAUUCGUUGAAAAUCUCUUCAUUUAGGUAAUUCUGAAACGUAGCAAGAAUUCCCCAAAACCUCUCUCUCUCUCUCUCUCUCUCUCUCUCUCUCUCUCUCUCUCUCUCUCUCUCUCUCUCUCUCUCUCUCUCCGCCCUAGCCGACGGCCUCUCUCACUCUUAUCUCUCACACACGGCCAAGUGCCACCACACACGGCUUUGGCCACUCGACUCUCCCCGUGAGAAAAAGCUCCGUACCAUUUUUAGCUAUUGCAACAUAUUUUCUCCUAUUGCCACAUAUUUUCUCAAAGAUCCAAUCGAACUAACUUAGGCAUCGGAGAGAUUUUGACGAACACCUACCAGGUGUGGUUUUUUACUCUUGUUUGUUUCGCAGUAACCGAGCAAGAGAGAGAAGGAAGCUCAAAAAGUGAAAGAUCCACAUGCGAAUAUUCUUCCUUGAGAAAUUUGCAUAAACAGAAGACGUGUGACAUAUUCUUGGUUCAAAAAUAUCCAUCCGAAACAAGGAAAAAAUUGUAAAACCAAACUUAAGAAAUUAUACCUCUAUUCUGGUCAGCAUGAAUGGAUAUGUCCAAACAAAUUUUAAUCCAACAAGAAAAAUCAGAGGAGAAGGUUUAGGGUUUCACAAACAGAUCUACCAAGUAAAACGAAUUAACAUAUGAUAUGGGCAAAAUAAAGAAAUGAGACCAAGAUAAAACUUCUAGAAAGGUGACAAAUUGUCCUUUGAAGUAAUUUUACGUAAGCAUAACAAUUCGAAAUAAAAGAUAAACAAACAAAAAUCCUAUGAAUGGAUGGGACGAGGAAAAUUGAAGCUGACAAUAAAGGUUACUAACUUACUUGGGAUGUAUCCAAAGAAAAAAAAAAACAUGAAGGGAAAUACUAGUUUUCCUUCCUUGUUUUACUUUUCUCCCUCAUUAAUUGUACUUGGCUUUAGCUCCAUGCAUCUUCUCCUCCUUCACGGCAGCUUGGCCCAUCAAUCACGCUAUGAAAACGGCAUUUUUCCAUUUCUUCCAGUCUGGCUACUUUGACAUUUCUUGGGUUUCAUUAUCUAAAUUAAUAUCUAGUACUUGUUUUUUUAUGUACUCGUGCCAAUAUUCAAAGUACCUGCUAUCAUAAAUAAACCUAUGUAAACAGGGACUAAACGUUUAUGGCCCGUUUCCUAGUGUUGAUGACCUAUCAUCUAAUGUUUGAGUUUAAUCCAAAUCUCUCUAGAAGUUUUUUUUUUUUCCUUUCUCUAUGAGGGUUCAAACGUGACACAUCUCGUAACUCGUCUAUAAGUUAAAGUCAAUUUCUAUUGCGCUAGAGACCCUAUUGGCCUCUAAAAGAUCUUUUAGUUACUUCUUUAUCCAAUUGAUCACUUUUUCUACUUUAAUUUUUCUGGAUUGAAUUUGAAUUUUCUGUAAUAUAUAUUUUUUUGGGAUAAUGUAAACAGGGGACUUCACUUCAUUGCAGGUCAAUGACGAUAUCUAGGAACAAUCCAUCAGUCUAGGACCAAACAUUAUGAGUCAUUUGUUAGUUUCCUCAGGGUCCUGUUUACGUGUUGCCAUGGCAGCUUAGACCCGUAAUCAAAAUCGCAAGAAAAGAUCAAAAGUUAGGCACGCUACAAGCCCUAUAUAAAGCACCCCCUGGCACCCAAGUUUAUCAUCAUCCUCCUCACCAAAUUACAAAUUAAUUAAGUUUAUCAGCAACAGCAAGCCAAUUAAGACAUUUCCAAGACGAUGAUGAAGAGCCAAGCAGCUCUCCUCGGCCUCACCACCUUGGCCAUCCUCUUCUUCUCAGGUAUAAUAUUAUACAAACUUUGUUAGUCGAUCAGAUAUCGAUCAAAAGUUUAUUUUUACAAUUGUCUCUGUAAUCUGUUUUCUUAUGAUCACGUUGAAUAUGCAGGUGCACAUGCAGCUAAAAUCACUUUCACAAACAAAUGUUCCUACACUGUCUGGCCAGGAACCCUAACCGGUGACCAAAAACCUCAAUUAUCACUCACCGGGUUCGAGUUAGCAACCGGAAUUAGCAACUCUGUGGACGCUCCGUCCCCGUGGUCCGGUCGCUUCUUUGGCCGAACCAGGUGCUCCACGGACGCGUCAGGAAAGUUCACUUGUGCCACAGCAGAUUGUGGCUCUGGCCAAGUCUCAUGCAACGGUAACGGCGCAGUUCCGCCAGCUACAUUAGUAGAAAUCACUAUUGCUGAGAACGGGGGUCAAGAUUUCUACGAUGUUAGUCUUGUUGACGGCUUCAACUUGCCCAUGUCCGUGGCUCCACAAGGCGGCACCGGAGAGUGUAAGGCCUCAACUUGCCCUGCCGAUAUUAACAAAGUGUGCCCGGCUGAGUUACAAGUGAAGGGAUCUGAUGGAAGCGUAAUUGCGUGCAAGAGCGCUUGCUUAGCAUUAAACCAGCCACAAUACUGUUGCACUCCCCCUAACGACAAGCCGGAGACAUGCCCUCCCACUGACUACUCUAAGCUCUUCAAGACCCAGUGCCCUCAAGCUUAUAGCUAUGCUUAUGAUGACAAGAGCAGCACCUUCACAUGCAGUGGUAGACCUGACUACCUCAUCACAUUCUGCCCAUAAGCAUACAUAUAUAUAUAAUGGGAUCUUAUAUGUUAUGACAUUAUACAUAUAGUUCCCAAUAACAGAGAAGAAUAAAUAAAUUUCCUGGAUCUUGACACAUUGUUGAUGUCAAGAAUUUGUAAUGCAGACGAUCAAAUAAAGGUAUAAAUGUUUGGAUUUUAUUUUCAUUCAUUUCCUUAUACGUGCAUUAUUUCCAGCAACAAAGCAUGAGAAUAAUAUAAAGAGAGUUAGCUGCAAACUGAAAUGGUUAUCAAACGGGAGUUUAAAUACGGAUUGUAAUUUUCUGUCAUGGCUGGUAAGGAAUAAGCAUGGCCAUUUACGAAACUAUAAUAUGAACAACACUGAGAAACACAAGUAUGGCCAUUUCAAACAGACUACAAAUGACUUCGUAUUCCAACAAUGAAUCAACAGCACCCAUGGCCAUAUGCGUUUGCAGCAUCUGAAGGUAGAUCAUCUAAUUAAUGUUAGAAGGAUAAUAGUUUCUAAAGUUCUUUAUUAAAAAAUCAAUAGACAACCACCAUGACUGUUUUGGGAAAUUAGAGACAAAUUUUGUCUUGGAGAAGAUGAUCACUUCUCAAUGCUUGACGGCUACAUAAUGCUAAAAUAUGAAUAUGGUUUGAAUACUUUAUUUUAGGUUAGUUGUAUUCUUCUUCAUAAAGAAGUAUAUAUAGGAGUUUGUUUUACAAGGAAAUAGAUACAGUAAAUCACCAUGGUAUACAAGGUGAUCACUUAGAGACAAAAAUUGAAAUGGUUCCCAAAGCCUUCCCUUAGCAAGCAGGUACCAUUGCAAGAAUGGUUCCAUAGUCAAUAAUGACAAGACCCGCAAGGAUGAUCUCGAAUUUAUAUGCAUGUUUUAAUUUCAUGGGCCUGUUGUUCUUCUACUACAGUAAUUAGAAUUUGUUUACAAGUGUGAAUUUUCCCAGAGCAAUUUCAGGGACCGACUUGACUUUCACCAUGCGGCCUCAGGAAGUGCAAAUGAACCCCGCACAAGACUUUUAGAGGGAGCUCUUUGGACGUGGACUUGUUAAAACAUGAAAGGUUUUUGUGUUGAUUUUUCUGAAUCAUACAAUCCGUUAAUAUACAAAUUUAUAUACACGGAGACUACUAAAGAAUGUAAAACUUUAAGAUCAUACAAACUACAAGUACUUGUUGAGAGUAUUUAGUCCAUGUUUUUUUUUUUUUAAUCCAGACAUUCAUUUUGUAUUUUAUUUUUUUUAUCGUUUAUCGAACUCAUAUAAACAUGAUAUAUAAAGCAAAAAGUAGAGAGAGAAUAGUAAAACAUUCAAAAAAGCAAAAAUUGUCCUUGCUUCAUAAUUUUAUUUCUUUGUUGGAAUGAAUUUAUUACGCAUUAAUUAAACUUUUCAUUAAAUAAGCAUAAUAUAGUAAAUUAAUAUAUAUAUAUUUUUUAAAAUGGGGACCUAUUUUCAUGAGAUACUUCUUCUUCUUCUUUUUUUUUUUUUUUGUUAGAUUCUCUUUCUUAAUUCUUAAAUUCAAAAAAUGAAAAUAAAAAACCAAUUGGCACCAAGGUAGUAUAUGUGAAACAUCGUCGGAAAUUUAAUUGUUUUUUAUUGAAAUGUUCAUAAAAACAAACUAACAAAAUAUAUACAUACAUUAGAAAAAAAAAAAUUUGUUUCAAAAUAAAUGCACAGUGCCCAAGGAAUCUCCUUAUGUAACUUAUGUCUCUUCAAAACUGUAAAAAAAAAAAUCCGCUAUAGCAAUACUCACAAGUGGAUAAUUGUAAUCCGGGUUCGAAUUCCGGCAGUAGAAUUCUUUUUAAGUUAGAUGUAAAUGUGAUCCAUUUUAUAUCAGUUAUAAUAGUUGUCGUAAUGAGCUUCUUUUUAAGUCUCUGUUUAUAUAGCAGCUUCUUCCCUAACUUGAGUAGAAUCCAAUUUGCGGCUAAGAUCACUUAAGAUGCAAGACUUUUAGUCACAAAGUAAAUAUUCCUAUUUCAGUCCUUGUCAAAACUUUGGCAAAAAAAAAAAGAAAAAUGAUUCCUAUCAAAACAUAGAGCAUCCACAAUGGGAGGGUGUAUAUGAGGGUGUAUGUUAAAUAUACAUCCCUUGUCACCGGAAUCAUCUGCAAUGGGGAGAUGAAAAGGGUUGUAAAUAUACAUCACCACCAUGGAGAUGUAAAAAAAUGUACAUUUACAUCUAUUUUUACAUCUUUUGCAAGUGGGACCCACCCGAAAAAAGAGAAGAAAAAUGAAGAAAAGUCAGCAUAAAAGGCUGGGACCCGCGGCUACAGUAAUUGCUAGAAAAAAAAAAUCACAUGUUGUUUGCUUAUUUGUGGUUUUCAUGCUCCCCCAAUGUUUUUGGAUGAUCAUAUCUUCUCCGAAUUUCAAUAUUUUUAGGGCUAUUUGUUUGAAAAAUUAAAAUUAACCUCAUACAAAAAAAAAUUAAUUUUAUAAAGUAAACACAAAAUACAAAUUUAACACAAAAACGAAUUAAGAAAAAUAAAACAAUUACACAUCUUAGAUUUACAUCUUCUCCUAUUGGAGCCAAAAACGUAUUUACAUCCCCUGGAGGUGUAAAGGGGAUGUAAAAGUGGCUUUACACCCCCGAAUUUACGCCCCUUACUGUGGAUGCUCUCAGUGCAUAUGAUGUACAGAUAAUUCACCAAAAAAAAAAAAAAAGGAAAUUAGUAUUGACAGUAUUCCACAUGGGAAGAUGGAAACGUUGUAAUAUAGUGCUUAAACUUCUCCACCUAUUGUCAAUUAUUUUUACGUUGAAUGCUGAUAUCUUAAAGAUAACGCUACUCAAUCAGGUUCUUAUUUGACUCUCAACAUUGAAAAAUGCAUUACAAACUAAAGUUCAUUUUAUCGUGGAAUAUAUAUAUUUUUUCAUGGACCCUGAAAUUUAGAAAACAAUUAAAAAGGCAAAAAAGAAAAAGAAAAAUAGGCAAUUUAGGGUCCUUUCAGUAAUGUUUUCGGAGAAUAUAUUCAGAAAAUGAAAAUGAGAAAACGAAUAUACAUUUUCAAGAUUCGAGAAUGCAUAUGGUAGACUAAGUAAAUAUUUUUCGAGAACGAAAACAGUAAAAACGUGUCUAAUACGAACAUAUGAAAAUGACAAAAAUACUGAAUUGGCAACAGUAUUAUAAAAAUUAUUUUCAACAUCAUAAAUCAAAUAUUGUGUGUAGCACAUAUCUUAUCAGACUUACUAAUAGGCCAAAAAAUUUCUUAAAAAUUGUGCAAUGGUCUAAUUAAUUAUCAUUAUCCAAUACAUGCUAGAUAACCCAAAAUGGGCUCAUGUCCUCCAAGAUAUCAUCCUACAUCAUAGAUCAAAUCUCUUAUAGUCUCACAAAUAUUUGAAAAAUAUGCAAAAUAAAAUUUAAAAUCAUGUUGUCAUGAGCACUAAAUAAAACCCCACCAUAAAUUUGCUGCGAUAUAUUGUCUCUAAUGUCGCCUAUUUGUGCAAUAUUUCCUUUUGACAUAUCUAUAUUCGGUGGUAUUGUAUUUUUUGAGUCAAUGAUCAUGUCUUCAACUUGGAACUCUUCGAUCAUCCUAUCACGACCAACUUCUUUUCUUAUAAAAUUAUGCAACACACAACAUACAAUAGGAACUCAUUGUUGCCUUCUCGGAGGAUAAUUAGGCAUCAAUUUCAAAAUUAGAAAAAGAGCUUUCAAAACACCAAAACAUCGCUCAAUUACAUUACAUAAUGAGGAGUGCCUAUAGCUCAACAAUUCCAUAGGACCUCUUGGUGUUUGUCGAGGUCCUCUAUCAUCACGCAAAUGAUAUCUCUCACCUCGAUAGGGUGCCAAGAAUUCAGGCACUUUUGAAUAUCCAACAUCCACAACAAUACCCUGUAAUUGUAAUUUAUUACUUGCAAGACACAAAUAAUGUACAUAAUAAUAUUAAUUGUAAUCUUAUGUUUAUACCUUCUUCUGGAAAAGGAAACUCUCAUUUUCUGGCCUUAUCACUGCAUCUAUGAACACCCUAGAGUCAUUUGCAGUUCCUUCCCAGCCCGUAUAAACAAAAGUGAACAUCAUGUCCAAAGAGCAAGCACACAUGGCCUUUUGAGUAAUAAGAAUCUUCCUACCAUGAUAUGAGGUUUGCUUUUGAGUUGGUGCCUAAGCAACAACAUGAGUUCCAUCAAUUGCACUAACACACUUCUGCGAUAAAUUCAUAUAUUUACAAACUAUAAAGUAAAUAUAAUUUAAAAUAUAUAAUUAUAAUAAUAAAAUAAAUAAAAUUAACAAUUGAUUUCUCACCUCAAAAUAAGGAUAAUACUUUAGGUUAUUCAAAAUUUCAGAAGGUGUUUCCUCUCGACUUUGUGGCCUUAUAAUACGUGGUGCUAAAGCACAUAAAGCUCCCAAAACACACUAAAAUUGUCUAUGAAUUGUGUCUUUAGAUCGUUGGAAAUGAUCAACAGCCAGUCACAUGCAGAUAUUAUGAGACACUAUAAAUAUGAAAAUUGCCAUUGCCUUAUAAGUACCCACAUUUCUAUCAUUCUGUGGCAAAUUUAAACUCUCAAGUGUGUAACGCAACCUUUGGAAUACAUGUUUGUACAUGUGAAACGAGUCUUAAAUCCUAUCUGCUGGAUGCCCAUUCAAACAUAUUCAUGCUCGGAUAAAACAGAAUUAUGACAUGGAGUUCUAUGUACAUAUGAUUGCCAAUAUUCAUAAAUAUGCAUACAAAUUAUCAUAUGAUGCACCAUUUCCUUCGGAUCUGAAUCACUAUCGGAGUGAUUGUCUUCAUUCCUUAUAGACAUGUCUAGUACCUUCAAGUAUUCAAAUUCAAUAAAGAAUUAUGCAUACAAAUUAAAGUCACAAAAAUCUAAAAUAUGCAUACAAAUUAAAGUCACAAACAUCAAACAGAAUAAGAAGAACAAUUCAUUAGUAUUCUCUCAACAAUAAACAUAAGUAGCAAUCCUAAAGACUAGCCAACCAAACUCUCCUCCUUUCUUCUGGCAUUAUAACAAAGAUUUUCCUCCAUUCAACAAUCACUAUCUUUUCUAGCAUCUUGUCGAUGUAUUGUUAUCAAUAUCUCCCAUUGUCUCAACAAUUCCUAUGCAUUCUUCAAUCGAAUACAUUUCCUUAGAGGUGCUAGAUGCCUCAAGCAAUGGCCACAGCAGCAAGCAACAACAGCAACAAUAGAAGCUACUCUGCCAUCUUCUGCCGCUUCCAUCUGUCUAGCCGUCAUGUCACGACGACAACCCGCAAACAAAAAGAAAAAGAAAAAGGCCACGCUAGCCGCCGCUACCAUCGAUACCGAUCAUGACAACAACUAACCGGGCCCACCUAGUUGGUACUCAUGUCGAAGAAGAAAAGAAGAAGAAAAAAAAAUCAAAUUCGAUUUACCUUGGGGUGUACGGCAACUCCUCUCUUCAACAAGCAGUACAAUUCUCCAAGAUCUCUCUCAAACUAGAAAGCAAAGAAGACAAGUUUUCAAUUUGAAGAAGAGCGAAAAGAAGCUUUGUAUUUAUAAAGAUUGGGCAUCCUAGGUCAAGAAGGAAGCACGAGUUCAUUUCCAUUAGGAGCUCAACUCAAGAAAAAGUCAAAAGCCUACUCCAAUUAGGAGCCCAAUUGGCAAAAGGAUUCCAACUCAAAGAAGAAAGCCCAAAUGCAGUUGGAAAGCCCGAAAAGUAUUUCUCACCUCCUCUACACCUCACAAGCGCCAUGCAAAAGUUGGGGGACAUUUGUGGGAGAAAAUAAUCAAGUUUCCAAUCAUAAGGUGCCACAUGGACAAGAAGAAUAUCUCCUAUGUCAAUUAAUUGAGCCCAUUUAUUUGGCUAAUUAGUUGAUCUAAAAAUAGGGAUAUUAUCUUAAAUAUGGGAUAUUAUCUUUAUUUGGGAAUAUAAUUACCAAUUAAAAGAUAAUAUCAUCAAUUUAGGAUAUUAUCUUAAUUGGGAUAUAUUAUCAUCAAUCAAUGAUUUAAUCCCAAUCAAAUUCUUAAUUGACUUAAUCUCUCCAUUUAGGGGAAAAAAUAUCUUCCUUCCAAAUAAGAAGAUAUUCUUUGAAAAUCUCUCCAUUUAGGUAAUUCCGAAACCUAGCAAGAAUUCACCAAAACCUCUCUCUCUCUCGCCGACGGCCUCUCUCACUCUUAUCUCUCUCACACGGCCAAGUGCCACCACACACGGUUCUGGCCCCCUGACUCUCCCCCGGAGAGAAAGCUCUGUACCUUUUUAGUUAUUGCCACAUAUUUUCUCAAAGAUCCAAUCGAACUAACUUAGGCAUCCGAGGGACUUUGGCCAACAACUUCCGGAUAUAGUUUUUUACUCAUGUUUGUUUCGUAGGAACGAGGAAGAGAGAGAAGAAAGCUCAAAAGGUGAAGGAUCUACAUGCGAAUACUCUUCCUUGAGAAAUUUGCAUAAACAGAAGAAGUGUGACAUAUUCUUAAUUCAAAAAUAUCCAUCCGAAACAAGGAAAAAAUUGUAAAACUAAACUUAUGAAAUUAUACCUCUAUUCUGGUCAGCAUGAAUGGAUAUGUCCAAACAAAUUUUAAUCCAAAAAGAAAAAUCAGAGGUGAAGGUUUAGGGUUUCACAAACAGAUCUACUAAGUAAAACGAAUUAACAUAUGAUAUGGGCAAAAUAAAGAAAUGAGACCAAGAUAAAACUUCUAGAAACGUGACAAAUUGUCCUUUGAAGUAAUUUUACGUAAGCAUAACAAUUCGAAAUAAAAGAUAAACAAAUAAAAAAUCCUAUGAAUGUGGAUGGGACGAGGAAAAUUGAAGCUGACAAUAAAGGUUACUUGGGAUAUAUCCAAAGAAAAAAAAAGAAGAGAAAUACUACUUUUCCUUCCUUGUUUUACUUUUCUCCCUCAUUAAUUGUACUUAGCUUUAGCUCCAUGCAUCUUCUCCUCCUUCACAGCAGCCUAGGCCAUCAAUCACGCUAUGAAAAUGGUUACGUGGCGCACGCCUGGUUGUGUAUGGACUGUUUUUCAAAAUCACGAGUGUUCUUAAUCAACGUUUUAAUUUGAUAUGGUUGGCAAUUUUCCAAUUCUCCCAGUCUUGCUACUUUGACUAAAUUAAUAUCUACUUGUUUUUUUAUGUUUGCAAGUAAUAUGUACUCGUGCCAGUAUUCAAAGUACCUGCUAUUACAAAUAAACCAAUGUAAACAGGGACUAAGCGUUUAUGGCCCGUUUCCUAGUAUUGAUGACCUAUCAUCUAAUGUUUGGGUUUAAUCCAAAUCUCUCUAGAAGUUUUUUUUAUUUUUUUUUUAUUUUUUUAUGAGGGUUCAAAUGUGACACCACUUGUCUACAAGUUAAGGUCAUUUUCUAUUGCGCUAGAGACUCUAUUGGCCUCUAAAAAAUCUUUUAGUUACUUCUUUAUUAAUGUAUACACGUGACUAGAGACCAUCUAAUAGUUAUCACAUUUUCCAUUUACAUGUGUGUCUGUGACUAAGCUAACAAUUGUAACUAUAUAUGUUUAUCCAAUUGAUCACUUUUUCUACACUUAUCUACAUGUGUGUCUGGCCUAUAUGAUGACUUUAAUUUUUCUGGAUUGAAUUUGAAUUUUCUGUAAUAUAAAUUUUUUGGGAUAAUGUGGGGACUUCAUUGCAGGUCAAUGACGUUAUCUAGGACCAAAUAUUACGAGUAAUUUAUUAGUUUCCCCAGGGUCCUGUUUACGUGUUACCAUGGCAGCUUAGACCCGUAAUCAAAAUAGCAAGAAAAGAUCAAAAGUUAGGCACGCUACAAGCCCUAUAUAAAGCACCCCCUGGCACCCAAGUUUAUCAUCAUCCUUCUCACCAAAUUACAAGUUAAUUAAGUUUAUCAGCAAGAGCAACAGCAAGCCAAUUAAGACAUUUCCAUGACGAUGAUGAAGAGCCAAGCAGCUCUCCUCGGCCUCACCACCUUGGCCAUCCUCUUCUUCUCAGGUAUAAUAUUAUACAAACUUUGUUAGGUGAUCAGAUAUCGAUCAAAAAGUUUAUUUUUACAAUUGUCUCUGUAAUCUUUAGUCUUAUGAUCAUGGUUUAAUGUACUUUGAAUAUGCAGGUGCACAUGCAGCUAAAAUCACUUUCACAAACAAAUGUUCCUACACUGUCUGGCCAGGAACCCUAACCGGUGACCAAAAACCUCAAUUAUCACUCACCGGGUUCAAGUUAGCAACCGGAAUUAGCCGCUCUGUGGACGCACCGUCCCCAUGGUCCGGUCGCUUCUUUGGCCGAACCAGGUGCUCCACGGACGCGUCAGGAAAGUUCACUUGUGCCACAGCAGAUUGUGGUUCUGGCCAAGUCUCAUGCAACGGUAACGGCGCAGCUCCGCCCGCUACAUUAGUAGAAAUCACUAUUGCUUCGAACGGGGGUCAAGACUUCUACGACGUUAGUCUUGUUGACGGCUUCAACUUGCCCAUGUCCGUGGCUCCACAAGGCGGCACCGGCAAGUGUAAGGCCUCAACUUGCCCUGCCGAUAUUAACAAAGUGUGCCCGGCUCCGUUACAAGUGAAGGGAUCUGAUGGAAGCGUAAUUGCGUGCAAGAGCGCUUGCUUAGCAUUCAACCAGCCAAAAUACUGUUGCACUCCACCUAACGACAAGCCGGAGACAUGCCCUCCCACUGAUUACUCUAAGCUCUUCAAGACCCAGUGCCCUCAAGCUUAUAGCUAUGCUUAUGAUGACAAGAGCAGCACCUUCACAUGCAGUGGUAGACCUGACUACCUCAUCACAUUCUGCCCAUAAGCAUAUAUAUAUAUAUAGAAUGGGAUCUUAUAUGAUAUGAUAUUAUACAUAUAGUUCCCAAUAAAUAAAUUUCCUGGAUCUUGACACAUUGUUGAUGUCAAGAAUUUGUAAUGCAGACGAUCAAAUAAAGGAAUAAAUGUUUGGAUUUUAUUUUC